UGUGGUGUCUAGAUUCUGUGAGCCUCCUCAAUAGAACAGUAGAUCAUCCUUACCAAGGUUAGAACGAGACUACGGUUGUAGUCUUCUCUAUACAUCGCUCACAUCGAAUCACAUUCUUUGUAGCUUAAAGGUUAGUAGCAAUAGAUUUGGUUAGUCAGAUGCACGCUUUCUCCCAGUGGUAAAAAUAUAAAUACGAUACUCUUGAUAACCUCCC
rnacentral:lncRNA from 1 species